UACGUAGGGGGGCAAGCGUUGUCCGGAAUCAUUGGGCGUAAAGCGCGUGUAGGCGGCUCGGUAAGUCCGCUCUGAAAGUCGGGGGCUCAACCCUCGGAUGCGGGUGGAUACUGUCGGGCUAGAGUGCGGAAGAGGCGAGUGGAAUUCCUGGUGUAGCGGUGAAAUGCGCAGAUAUCAGGAGGAACACCAAUUGCGAAGGCAGCUCGCUGGGACGUAACUGACGCUGAGACGCGAAAGCGUGGGGAGCAAACAGG
rnacentral:rRNA from 1 species